AUGAGGGAAAUUGUGCACAUCCUGGCCCGUCAGUGUGGCAACCUAAUUGGUGCCAAAUUCUGGGAGGUGAUAAGUGAUGAACAUGGCAUAGACCCCACUGACACCUAUCAUGGGUAUAGAGACCUGCAGUUGGACUGCAUCUCCAUGAACUACAAUGAAGCCACAGGUGACAAAUAUUUUCCUCGUGCCAUCUUGGUGGAUCUGGAACCUGGGACCAUGGACUCUAUUCGCUUAGGUCCUUUUGCUCAGAUCUUCAGACCAGACAACUUUGUUUUUGGUCAGUCUGGGACAGGCAACAAUUGGGCCAAGGACCACUACACAGAGGGUGCUGAGCUGGUUAAGUCAUGGAUGUGGUUCUGAAGGAGGCAGAGAGCUGUGACUGCCUUUAGGGUUUCCAGCUGACCCACUUGCUGGUAGGGGCACAGAUUCUGGAAUGGGCACCUUGCUCAUCAGCAAGACACGUGAAGAGUAUCCCAAUGGCAUCAUGAAGCCUUCAGUGUAGUGCCCUGACCCAAAGUGUCCGAAUCUGCCCUACAAUGCCACCCUCACUGCCCAUCAGCUGGUGGAGAACACUGAUGAGACCUACUGCAUCCACAACCAGGCCCUUUACAACAUCUGCUUCCACACCCUCAAGCUGACCACGCCAACAUAAGGGGACCUGAACCAUCUCAUCCUGGCCACCAAGAGUGGUGUCACCACCUGCCUCCACUUCCUUAGCCAGCUCAUUGCUGACCUCUGCAAGCUGGCAGUCAACGUUGUGUCCUUCCCAUGUCUUCACUUCUUCAUGCCUGAUUUUUCCCCUCUAACCAGAGGUGGAAGCCAGCAGUAUCGGACACUCACUGUGCCCAAGCUCACCCAGCAGAUCUUCUAUGCCAAGAACACAAUGGCUGCCUGUGACCCCCACCAUGGCUUGUACCUCACCUUGGCUCCUGUCUUCUGUGGGUGAAUGUCCAUGAAGGAGGUGGAUGAGCAGAAGCUCAACGUGCAGAACAAGAGCAGCAGCUACUUCCUGGAAUCAAUCCCCAGCAACGUCAAGACAGCUGUCUGCAACAUCCCAAUCUGUGGCCUCAAGAUUGUGGUCACUUUCAUUGGAAAGAGCACGGCCAUACUGGAGUUGUUCAAGCUCACCUGAGUAAAGCUCUCUGCCAUGUUCUGCUGGAACGCCUUCCUCCACUGUACACAGGUGAGGGCAGGGACGAGAUGGAUUUCACCGAGGCUGAGAGCAACAUGAAAGACCUCAUCUCUGAAUACCACCAGUAGCAAGAUGCCACAGCAGAAGAAGAGAUUUUCGGUGAGGAGGCUGAAGAGGAGGCCUAA